rnacentral:rRNA from 1 species
GAUGAACGCUAGCGGCAGGCUUAAUACAUGCAAGUCGAGGGGUAGCAAGAUUGUAGCAAUACAAUUGUUGACGACCGGCAAACGGGUGCGGAACACGUACACAACCUUCCUACAAGUGGGGAAUAGCCCAGAGAAAUUUGGAUUAAUACCCCGUAACCUAGCGAUGUGGCAUCACAUUGCUAUUAUAGCUUCGGCGCUUGUUGAUGGGUGUGCGGCUGAUUAGAUAGUUGGCGGGGUAACGGCCCACCAAGUCUACGAUCAGUAGCUGAUGUGAGAGCAUGAUCAGCCACACGGGCACUGAGACACGGGCCCGACUCCUACGGGAGGCAGCAGUAAGGAAUAUUGGACAACGGACGCAAGUCUGAUCCAGCCAUGCCGCGUGAAGGAUUAAGGUCCUCUGGAUUGUGAACUUCUUUUAUAAGGGACGAAAAAAGGUCUUUCUAGAUCGUCUGACGGUACCUUAUGAAUAAGCACCGGCUAACUCCGUGCCAGCAGCCGCAGUAACAC